rnacentral:rRNA from 1 species
AAGGGUGAGUAAUGCAUUGAUAACCUACCUUUGAGAUGGGAACAACAACGUUCCAAGUAAUUGGGGCUACCGAAAGGGUUGCUAAUUCUCAAUAAAAAUGCUGACACUUUGGUGUCGGCAGUCAAAGAAAUGGAUCUGAAAAGGUCCAUUUGCUCAGAGAGGGGUCAAUGUCCUAUCAGCUAGUUGGUAGGGUAAUGGCCUACCAAGGCGAAGACGGGUAGCCGGCCUGAGAGGGUGGUCGGCCACACUGGGACUGAGACACUGCCCAGACUCCUACGGGAGGCUGCAGUCGAGAAUCUUUCGCAAUGCCCGAAAGGGUGACGAAGCGACGCCGCGUGUGGGAUGAAGGCCUUCGGGUUGUAAACCACUGUCGGGAGUUAAGAAUUGUAGGAAUGCUAAUAGUAUUUCUACUUGACUAAGGCUCCGGAGGAAGCCACGGCUAACUCUGUGCCAGCAGCCGCGGUAAUACAGAGGCGGCAAGCGUUGUUCGGAAUUAUUGGGCGUAAAGAGCAUGUAGGCGGCUAUGUAAGUCGGUUGUGAAAGCCUUCCGCUUAACGGAAGAAUGGCGGUCGAAACUGCAUGGCUUGAGUGCGGGAGGGGAGAGUGGAACUUCUGGUGGAGCGGUGAAAUGCGUAGAUAUCAGAAGGAACGUCGGCGGCGAAAGCGACUCUCUAGACCGUAACUGACGCUGAGUGUGCGA